AUUGAACGCUGGCGGAAUGCUUUACACAUGCAAGUCGAACGGAAGCACGGGGGCAACCCUGGUGGCGAGUGGCGAACGGGUGAGUAAUACAUCGGAACGUGCCCAGUCGUGGGGGAUAACGUAGCGAAAGUUACGCUAAUACCGCAUACGAUCUACGGAUGAAAGCGGGGGACCGUAAGGCCUCGCGCGAUUGGAGCGGCCGAUGUCAGAUGAGGUAGUUGGUGAGGUAAAGGCUCACCAAGCCGACGAUCUGUAGCUGGUCUGAGAGGACGACCAGCCACACUGGGACUGAGACACGGCCCAGACUCCUACGGGGAGCAGCAGUGGGGAAUUUUGGACAAUGGGCGCAAGCCUGAUCCAGCCAUUCCGCGUAAGUGAAGAAGGCCUUCGGGUUGUAAAGCUCUUUCGAAAGGGAAGAAAACUUAGCCACUAACAUUGGUUGAGGUUGACGGUACCUUGAUAAGAAGCACCGGCUAACUACGUGCCAGCCGCCGCGGUAA
rnacentral:rRNA from 1 species